CCCUUAGAUGUUCUGGGCCGCACGCGUGCUACACUGAGUGGAUCAGCGGGUCAGGUUGCGCGAAAGUGUUUCCUAAUCUUGAAAUCCGCUCGUGAUGGGGAUUGACGGUUGCAAUUUUCCGUCAUGAACGAGGAAUACCUUGUAAGCGCGGGUCAUCAUCCCGCGCUGAAUACGUCCCUGCCCUUUGUACACACCGCCCGUCGCUCCUACCGAUUGGGUGGUCCGGUGAGGCUUUGGGAUCUGAGCGGAAAGAGCGUUUCGCUGUUUCUGCCCGGAAAACUCAGUCGAACCUUAUCAUUUAGAGGAAGGAGAAGUCGUAACA
rnacentral:rRNA from 1 species